rnacentral:rRNA from 1 species
GACGAACGCUGGCGGCGUGCUUAACACAUGCAAGUCGAACGGAAAGGCCCUGCUUUUGUGGGGUGCUCGAGUGGCGAACGGGUGAGUAACACGUGAGUAACCUGCCCUUGACUUUGGGGUAACUUCAGGAAACUGGGGCUAAUACCGGAUAGGAGCUCCUGCUGCAGGGUGGGGGUUGGAAAGUUUCGGCGGUUGGGGAUGGACUCGCGGCGUAUCAGCUUGUUGGUGGGGUAGUAGCGUACCAAGGCUUUGACGGGUAGCCGGCCUGGGCGGGGGACCGGCCACAUUGGGACUGAGAUGCGGCACAGCCUCCUACGGUAGGCAGCAGUGGGGAAUAUUGCACAAUGGGCGGAAGCCUGAUGCAGCAACGCCGCGUGCGGGAUGACGGCCUUCGGGUUGUAAACCGCUUUCGCCUGUGACGAAGCGUGAGUGACGGUACUGGGUGAAGAAGCACCGGCUAACUACGUG